AUCACUUCUCGGCCUUUUGGCUAAGAUCAAGUGUAGUAUCUGUUCUUAUCAGUUUAAUGUAAUGUUACUGUUUUAUCCCUUUGUAACCGAUUAAAUUUAUUAUGGGAAGAUGCUUU
rnacentral:snRNA from 1 species